UACGAAGGGGGCUAGCGUUGCUCGGAAUCACUGGGCGUAAAGGGCGCGUAGGCGGCCAUAUAAGUCGGGGGUGAAAGCCCAGGGCUCAACCCUGGAAUUGCCUUCGAUACUGUAUGGCUCGAGACCGGAAGAGGUUAGUGGAACUGCGAGUGUAGAGGUGAAAUUCGUAGAUAUCAAGCGGAACACCGGUGGCGAAGGCGGCCUUCUGGACAGUGACUGACGCUGAGACGCGAAAGCGUGGGGAGCAAACAGG
rnacentral:rRNA from 1 species